rfam:Triticum aestivum genome assembly, contig: Triticum_aestivum_CS42_TGACv1_scaffold_405172_5BL
AGAUUGAGAUGAAGAUUAGAUUAUACCUAUUGGGAUGAUUGCCUGCAUGAUGGCAAAACCUGUAUUUAGCUCUAUCUGAUCAUCA